GUAAAACAUAUAUGGAUAACAGAAAUCUCUCUGUUGCAAAUACACGUGACAUAAACAUUUUGUAUGUUUCCUGAAUACAAAGAUAUGAAGGUCAACCUUAAACAUGGUUCCCUCUACUGAUCACACAAGGUUAUAAAGAUAUGAUAACGAGGAGAAUUUGACUGAAAAAGAUGAAGAAAAUCAGAAAUUGACGAUGAACAUACACAGAAACAAUUCCGUAUUAACAGCUGUGACUACUUGAACCAAGUAGGCCGGAACCUCAUACAGCAACUGCUGCAGGCCUUUUGCUUGUCUUGAUCCCUUUAAUAGCUUCAGCAUAAUCAGGAGCUCCAAAGACAGCAGAACCUGCUACCAAGGCAUUGGCUCCGGCUUCAAUGACCUUGUAAGCAUUUUUGGGACCAACUCCACCAUCAACUUCAAUCCAAGGGUUUACUCCCUUCUCAGCACAUAUUUUUCUCAAGUCUGAGAUUUUCUUGACCUGACUCUCAAUGAAGCUCUGUCCCCCAAAUCCAGGGUUUACAGACAUAAUCAGCACCAGAUCAACAGCAUCAAGGACAUAUUCAAUUGCGGUUAAAGGGGUUCCAGGAUUGAGGACAACCCCAGCUUUAGCUCCCAAACUUUUAAUCUGGUUUAUUGUACGAUGCAAGUGGAUUGUAGAAGAUUGCUCACAAUGAACACUGACAAUAUCAGCACCUGCUUUUAUGAAGUCAGGUACUCUCUGGUCAGGUUCGACAAUCAUCAGAUGCACAUCCAGUGGAAGAUCUGUGAUAGGGCGCAAGGAAUCAACUACAAGGGGUCCAAUAGUUAUAUUUGGAACAAAUCGACCAUCCAUCACAUCUACAUGAAUCCAGUCGCAGCCUGCCUGCUCAACUGCUUUCACCUGCUCUCCUAAUUUAGAAAAGUUAGCAGAAAGGAUGGAUGGAGAAACAAUAAUGUCGCUUUUCGAGAACUUAUCCACCCGAGAAGAAGCUGUCACCACAGUUUGAAUUCUCCUCCUGGUGAAAGUGAGUGAAUUGGGGUUGGAGAAAGAAAUCUUUUGACUCCCGCCAAAUCCACUAAUUUGGGAUUGUAACAGAGUUGAUGAACCCAAAGAAGAAGCAGUCGCCAUUGAUUGUUUUUUUUUAAAAUUUUCUUGAAGCAAACUUUUGCCUUGUUGAAAAUUGAGAAUAAAGGUUGGUACUUUGUCAAUUUGAAAGCACCAAAGCUCAAAAUUCCAACCACCACUUUGAAGACAAGAACCGAAAACUGUUGUAAUUUUGAGGAAAAUCAAGAAUGAAAUAUCAGGUGGACACGUGUCCGAUUUGGUUUGUCAUAGAGGGCUUUGCUU
rnacentral:misc_RNA from 1 species